rnacentral:lncRNA from 1 species
UAAAUUAUAUUUAAAAAACACUCUUAUGUUGUUUUUUCUUCUGAAAAUCUGAUGUUCCAACAUCCAGUCCAGGACAGAAGAUAAAAUAGAGCGAUUCAAGAAAGCAGUUGAGUACUAUUCCGUCACAACCAAACUCUCUUCACUGCCAGUGGGUCCCUCCUUUCUAGGUUUUCGGAAUAAUAGGCUUGGAAAUCCUCCCCUUCCACGAAAUCAAGUGGGCACCAUUUCUCCUGGAAAGCCAAUGUUUUCUCACCAAGUGCCCCAGAAAGUGAAAUAUCCACCACCAUUCCCAGUGGGACCCAGCUCAUCUCUUCUCUUCUCCUCCCAUGCUUUGGGGGAAUCCCAUGCUUUUUCUGAGGAUCCCAUGCUGCAGACCAACCCCUUUGCCAAUUGGGCUGUCUCCUAUGACUCUUCUGCAUCCCAGUUUCCCAAUUACCUGCCUUCUAAAGCCUCACCUCCUUUGGUACCAGACUCUUCCCACUCCUCUUCCUCUGAUGGUGAUGAGCCAAAUGGAGCUAGCUCUGAUCAUAUCACAGAAGCAUUUCAGCACCAGCCUGAGUGGGGAAAUCUCAAUCGUGACAGAGGGUCCUGGGCACAGCCUGUUAAUACUGGAGUUUCAGAAGCAAGCCUAGGUGAUGGUGAGCCCCACAUCCCAUCUCUGCUGUCUAUGUCUACGAGGAACCACAUGGAUAUCACCAUUCCACCCUUACCUCCAGUAGCUCCAGAAGUCUUGCGAGUUGCUGAACACAGACACCGGAGGGGUCUUAUGUACCCAUAUAUCUACCAUGUCCUCACUAAGGUGAGGCAGCACAUCAGCACUUACCUCCCUGCUUUUAACACUGUACUUCCUACUUCCUA